rnacentral:rRNA from 1 species
UACGUAGGCGGAAAAUUAAGUCAGUAGUGAAAUCCCGCAGCUUAACUGUGGAACUGUUAUUGAUACUGGUUUUCUUGAAUAUGGUUGAGGUAGGCGGAAUGUGUAAUGUAGCGGUGAAAUGCUUAGAUAUUACACAGAACACCGAUUGCGAAGGCAGCUUACUAAGCUAUGAUUGACGCUGAGGUACGAAAGCGUGGGGAGCGAACAGGAUUAGAUACCCUGGUAGUCC